rnacentral:hammerhead_ribozyme from 1 species
AUCCAGAUGAUGAGUCCCAGAUUAGGACGAAGUGCGUAUCUCGGAU